GUAGUCGUGGCAGAGUGGUUAAGGCGAUGGGCUAGAUAUCCAUUGAGAUAACCCCGCGUAGGUUCGACGCCUACCGACUACG